rnacentral:ncRNA from 1 species
AGUUAGAGGCGCGGCAGCCAAGAGUCAUGCGGAGGAGGGACCCACCCGUAGAAUCCGCACAAAAGGGGCUGUUGCCGAAACGGAACCGCUUGGGCGGAGGUUUUGUUGGGCGGCGGGAGAACAUCUUGCUGACUGUCACAAGGAUGCUUGUGGAGUGCUACUUC